CAAUUAAAUUAGGAUAGGUGGAAAAAAUUAACAAAAAUUAAUUUUCUUUUUCUUCCAUCUCCCCUCUCGUCCCUCGUUUUCCCUUUCAUCUUCUUCUUCCUUCUCUCAUUUAAUCACCAGCUUCAAUACAAACCAACCACACCAUCAUUAUAUAUUUUGUCUAUCGACAGAAAUAUACAAAUUCAAGAACACUCUCAGAAAAGAAAAGAAGAGAACACCCCUCAACGUGAAUGCUGAUUCGUCCAUGGAAGUCUUCUUUGUAGUCGCUUUCAAUGCUUUUUGUAUUGGCUUAAUACAGAACUGCAGUUGUUGUUCAUGCUCAUCACUGCUACUAGUCGAGUCUUCCUCACUGGUAAUAAACAAAACAUUGUUUCUCGCCCACCAACUGUUGUAAUAUCAGCUUUUAGUGUCUUUAAUGUAAAGCUUUCAAUGUCUUGAUUAGCUCAGACAAAAGGUCGAUUUUAUCUUCACAGUAAAGUGAAGUUUUGAUCUCAAACUUACCAUCUUCUUCCGAUGUAUCUACUAUUAGCUCAUCAAUUUCAGUCGACACAGGACUCGUUUCUGCUA